UUUCUCGUAGCUUAGUGGCUAGAGCGUUGGCGCGUAAAGCCAAAAGUCCCGGGUUCGCCUCUCGGCGAGGGUG
rnacentral:tRNA from 1 species